UGGAGUGUGCAUCCAAAGGACACUUUUCUAUCCCAGGAGUCCACGGGAGAGCAAUACGUCAUCAUCGAACGUGAUUGAGAACGUGACAAGGGUGUUUACAAAUCGACAGAUGAGACACACGUGUUUAUCCGGUGAAGAGUGACUGAUGAAGGAAUGCUGCCAUCAAAGGCUUUCAAUCUUUUGUGGUGGAGCAGGUGACGGCAGUGUUUGUGGGAAGAAAGAAAGAACUGAAACAAAAAUAUAAAGUAAGAUCAUUUUGUUACUUUAAUACAGAAAUAAAAAAAAAAAAUAAUAAAAUUAUUGUAAAAACAAAAAAAAAAAAAGUUAAAAUGAAUGCUUUUGUAUUAUAUUUGUGCUUCUUGUAUGAUCUGAAAUGUCUGCAGACUGGUGUGAGCAGUGAAAAAGGAGAAAUCCACAGCAGCAUCCUGGAAAUGUGGUUUAGCCCACUACAAAAGUAAUAGAGCUACAGCAAAAAUUAGCAUGUAGUCGAGCAGACACGGUGAUGGCCAGAUUGUCCCGCACAUGUUCUUCUGCUCUUGCCUCAAGGUUGUGGGGUUCAGUGGUGUGUCUUCAUGGUCUUUCUCAUCGUCUGGCUCAACAACAUCCCUAUUGAGAAGAGUGAG